rnacentral:rRNA from 1 species
UAGCGUAUAUUAAAGUUGUUGCAGUUAAAAAGCUCGUAGUUGGAUUUCUGUUCUCGGGGAUUGGUCCGCCUCACGGUGAGCACUGGUAUCCUGGGGACAUCCUCUCGAAGGCGGGUGGUGCACUUAAUUGUGUGCUGCAUGGAUUCGGGACCUUUACUUUGAAAAAAUUAGAGUGUUCAAAGCAGGCGUCGGCUUGAAUACAUUAGCAUGGAAUAAUGGAAUAGGACUUUGGUUCUAUUUUGUUGGUUUCUAGGACCGAAGUAAUGAUUAAUAGGGACAGUUGGGGGCAUUAGCAUUUAAUUGUCAGAGGUGAAAUUCUUGGAUUUAUGAAAGACUAACUACUGCGAAAGCAUUUGCCAAGGAUGUUUUCAUUAAUCAAGAACGAAAGUUAGGGGAUCGAAGACGAUCAGAUACCGUCGUAGUCUUAACCAUAAACUAUGCCGACUCGGGAUCGGUGGGGUCAUUUUAGCCGCAUCGGCACCGUAUGAGAAAUCAAAGUUUUUGGGUUCUGGGGGGAGUAUGGUCGCAAGGCUGAAACUUAAAGGAAUUGACGGAAGGGCACCACCAGAGUGGAGCCUGCGGCUUAAUUUGACUCAACACGGGGAAACUCACCAGGUCCAGACAUAGUAAGGAUUGACA